AGAGUUUGAUCCUGGCUCAGAACGAACGCUGGCGGCAGGCCUAACACAUGCAAGUCGAACGAGAAGCCACCUUCGGGUGGUGGACAGUGGCAGACGGGUGAGUAACGCGUGGGAACGUGCCUUUCGGUUCGGGAUAACCCAGGGAAACUUGGGCUAAUACCGGAUACGCCCUUCGGGGGAAAGAUUCAUCGCCGAAAGAUCGGCCCGCGUCGGAUUAGCUAGUUGGUAGGGUAAUGGCCUACCAAGGCGACGAUCCGUAGCUGGUCUGAGAGGAUGACCAGCCACACUGGGACUGAGACACGGCCCAGACUCCUACGGGAGGCAGCAGUGGGGAAUAUUGGACAAUGGGCGAAAGCCUGAUCCAGCCAUGCCGCGUGGGUGAAGAAGGCCUUAGGGUUGUAAACCCCUUUCAGCGGGGAAGAUAAUGACGGUACCCGCAGAAGAAGUCCCGGCUAACUCCGUGCCAGCAGCCGCGGUAAUACGGAGGGGACUAGCGUUGUUCGGAAUUACCGGGCGUAAAGCGCACGUAGGCGGAUUUGUAAGUCAGGGGUGAAAUCCCGAGGCUCAACCUCGGAACUGCCUUUGAUACUGCAAAUCUCGAGUCCGGAAGAGGUGAGUGGAAUUCCUAGUGUAGAGGUGAAAUUCGUAGAUAUUAGGAAGAACACCAGUGGCGAAGGCGGCUCACUGGUCCGGUACUGACGCUGACGUGCGA
rnacentral:rRNA from 1 species